GUGCAACUGACGUAUUUUAUGAUAUUGUGGUUUUUAUGUAUAAAUCUGAUUCACUGAUUAACAUAUUAAAUUGAUUGGCAACAUCUAUCGUAAUCAGUUAAAUGUUAAUUUCAUCGUGGAAAGCUAAGUUAUGCCAGACUAAUUGAGUGAAGAAACAAACUACGAUGAACUAGAAGGUCGUUUAAAGAGUUUUGAAGACUGGACGUUUACGACGGACCCAGAGAAGCUGGCAAACGCUGGAUUUUAUGCUACAGGGUACCACGACGUUGUUAGAUGUUUUGCCUGUGGUCUCGGGCUACGAUACAUGAAGCCCGAAGAUGACCCCUUGAUCGAGCACAUCAAGCACGGCCGUCCACGUGUCACUUCUUGAACCAGCUGUCUGACAAUACUCAGCAAGAAGAAACAGACGAGAAUGGUGCGACAAAUUCGACGAAUGGUGAAUCAGA